CCUACGGGAGGCAGCAGGGAGGAAUAUUGGUCAAUGGGCGCGAGCCUGAACCAGCCAAGUCGCGGGAGGGAAGACGGUCCUAUGGAUUGUAAACCUCGUUUGUCGGGGAGCAAAAGACGCCACGCGUGGCGUUCCGAGAGUACCCGAAGAAAAAGCAUCGGCUAACUCCGUGCCAGCAGCCGCGGUAAUACGGAGGAUGCGAGCGUUAUCCGGAUUUAUUGGGGUGAAAGGGUGCGCAGGCGGAAGAUCAAGUCAGCGGGAAAAUUGAGAGGCUCAACCUCUUCGAGCCGUUGAAACUGGUUUUCUUGCGUGUGUGCGCAGUCUGCGGCAUGCGUGGUGUAGCGGUUACAUGCCUCGCUCUCACGCAGCACUCCGAUUGCGAAGUCAGCAUACCGGCGCUCAACUGACGCUCAUGCCCGACAGUGUGGGUAUCGAACAGGAUUAGCUACCCCAGUAGUC
rnacentral:rRNA from 1 species